rnacentral:siRNA from 1 species
AACCAACCGAGUAAACCGAUCGA